AGCGUUGCCAACCGUACGGUAAUUACCGUAUUUGUACGGUAAAUUGAUGCAAAAUACGGUAUACGGUCCGAAGGGGCUACCGUACGCCAAAAUACGGUAAUUUCGUAAUUUCAAUUGCGAUUUUUUUUUUUGAGCUCAUUGUAAUAGUGGCUUUUGAAAUUGUAAUGUAUCGAUAAAAAUUGACAUAUUCUGGGGAAAACUCCAAAAAUAUACAAAUGAAAUGGGUGUAUUUGAAUUCCAGAAAUUGUCACAGUUCGUACUGAAUAUAUUAUCCCUUCCACACUCAAAUGCUGAAUGCGAAAGAGUCUUCAGUAAAAUAAACUUGGUUAAAACAAAAUCAAGAAAUAAGUUAAUAACUAAUACAAUCAAUGGUUGUUUAUUAACGUCUCAGUGUGUGAAAAAAGAUGGUAACUGCGUAGAUUUUACACCUACUCAGAAUAUUUCUAGUAUCGAAGUUGAUGAAGAUGAAUUUGUCAUAGACGGUUGAAAUAUAAAUUUUUGAAAAGAGGACACAUGAAGACAUGAAUGCAAAUCAUAUUUAUGUUACAAUGGAAUCAGAAGGUUUUACAGAAGCAAGUAGCAGUUCGGCCACCCCCAAACGUAGUGGUGGUAAGCUGAGCCCCUUAACCAUUAUUUCAGAAAUGGCUCAGUUAUUAGAAAUGUUUUUUGAAAGAUGCCAGCUUUUCUACUCAUGUCUCUGUGUAGAAAUUAGAAAACGGUAUGAUUUCGACAAUUUUAUUUUGCCAAAAUUGCAGAUAUUUGUGCCUAAAAAUGCAGUUUCUUCAGAUAUACACCAGCAGUUCCCAUCAUUAGCUCAUUUGCUCCAAAAUAUGACACGUUUUUAUGACAGUAGUGAAGGUCAACUAAUCGAUGAACAGUGGAGGUUGCUGCCAGAUUACCAUUUUACUGCUGAUGAAGAAAAAAAAUAGACAUCAACGAGGACAUUGACAUAUUCUGGGGAAAAUCCAAAAAUAUACAAAUGAAAUGGGUGUAUUUGAAUUCCAGAAAUUGUCACAGUUCGUACUGAAUAUAUUAUCCCUUCCGCACUCAAAUGCUGAAUGCGAAAGAGUCUUCAGUAAAAUAAACUUGGUUAAAACAAAAUCAAGAAAUAAGUUAAUAACUAAUACAAUCAAUGGUUGUUUAUUAACGUCUCAGUGUGUGAAAAAAGAUGGUAACUGCGUAGAUUUUACACCUACUCAGAAUAUGUAUGCAAGAAUGAACAAAAUUGAUAUGUAUUCUAAUUCUUCUAGUUCUAGUAUCGAAGUUGAUGAAGAUGAAUUUGUCAUAGACGGUUGAAAUAUAAAUUUUUGAAAAGAGGACACAUGAAGACAUGAAUGCAAAUCAUAUUUAUGUUACAAUGGAAUCAGAAGGUUUUACAGAAGCAAGUAGCAGUUCGGCCACCCCCAAACGUAGUGGUGGUAAGCUGAGCCCCUUAACCAACCAGAGAAUUGAAAGAAUGAAGGCUAAAAUCAAUUCUUUGAAGUGCAAAAUAUUUAGGCGUAAAGUUCCCCACUGUUUUUGCAAAGGAAGACCCAUCGAGGCUACCAAUAGAACAAAUAUCUCAAGAUUGAUAUGUGAAUCAAAACGAUACCUUUCCAAAGAUGCUCAUAUUAUUUUUGCUAAUGAGUUGAAAGCAAACUUUGUUAAUAAAUUCAACAGAAGAUAUGAUGAUGACUUGAAAGAAAUGUGCUUGUUAAGCUUGUUAAGUGAAUACAAAAAAUCAAAAACUAAGAAAUCUAUGCAAUGAAUAAUGAUUCACAUUUAAGAUUACUUAUAUAUUACUUAUUUUUAUGUAUAUAUUCUUCUGUACAUUUUAUUAUGUUUAUUCAAUUGAAUUAAAAAUUCCACUAAUUUGACAAAGCAUUUUUUCUUUCUCUCCCUAAUCUUUGAUUUAGGGCUUAGUUAAAUUUUGACAAGUUUAAAUUACAAUUUGUAGGUUAGGUAUGGCCAUAGAAUAGAAAGAAUUGUUUAUCUCUUUCUCUAUGUACUUCUGUGGUUCUGUGUACGGUAAAAGUGUCCCAAAUACGGUAAUUUCUCGUCCCUGGUACGGUAAUCUCAAGAUUUUGGGUUGGCAACGC